UACGUAGGGGGCAAGCGUUAUCCGGAUUUACUGGGUGUAAAGGGAGCGUAGACGGCAGUGCAAGUCUGAAGUGAAAGGCAAGGGCUCAACCCUUGGACUGCUUUGGAAACUGUGCUGCUGGAGUGUCGGAGAGGCAAGUGGAAUUCCUAGUGUAGCGGUGAAAUGCGUAGAUAUUGGGAGGAACACCAGUGGCGAAGGCGGCUUGCUGGACGAUGACUGACGUUGAGGCUCGAAAGCGUGGGGAGCAAAUAGG
rnacentral:rRNA from 1 species